AAUUUGUAUGGCCUUUUGUUAGAAGAUGUGUGUCAUCGCUUCUCGGCCUUUUGGCUAAGAUCAAGUGUAGAAGAUGUGUGUCACUGAGGG
ensembl:miRNA Gm44343 predicted gene, 44343